GAAAACUACAAAAAUAGAAUCGUAUUUAAAACGGAUAAAUGUUUCCCUUUUUAAAUUUUGAGUAAAUAAGUGAGUAUUUACUUAAGGCUAAAAUUAGGUGAUUAGUAAGUGUAUUUUGAUUUUGAUUUUUUUUUUUUUAAAAAGAGAACCAAUGAGUUUUUGCCAUGUGGAAAUUCCAAGAUGCCUUCUUAUCUUUUGCAACAACUUGCACAUGGCUUUUCACGCACAUCAGUAACAAAUUAUUUUGCCACAAAUAGAGCAUAUUCUGGUGGGACCCAUUUAAAAAGAUUUUUUUCAUCUUGGCAUUUUCUGGGUGCUACUCCAUAGAUAUAGGAGAUAUACAUAGACACACUCACAAAAAAAUACAUAGAGAGGGACGGACGGACAGAUCAGAAAACAAAAAAAAAAAAAAAAUGCUUCUUCAUAUUUUUUACUCACCUGUAACCAACACCACCACCGCAUCAUCUGCCGCCAGGGGCGGAGCCACAUUGGCUCCGGGGUUCAUUUGAACUUUUUCGGUGAAAAAUUACAAUGUAUUUUUAAAGUUAAAAUUAGAUGUUGAACUCCUGACUUCUUCAUGUAUUUACCUUUUAGAAUUUUUGAACCCCUAGACGAAAAUCCUGGCUCCGCCACUAUCCCGCCAUUAAACCACCACCCCCACUGAUCUUUUUCAACCACCAGCCCAUCGUCGCCACCCACACCAGAAACUAAAUGACCACUGUGAGCCACCAUCCUCAAACCCAUUUCUCCAUCUGAGACCGCCGUUCACCACCGUCAUCUGCACCUCUCACCGCCACCAUCCUAAACAUACCAUUAAACCAUCGUGAAACAACCACCAGAAACCGCCGUAUGCCACAAUCGUACCCCAUCCCUAUUUUCUACAAAACACCAAUAUAACCACCAAACACCAUUAAAGUUCUGGGUGUUACGGUUUAAAACAAAAGAAGUCAAUUCAGUGACGAGUUUUUGUCGGGUUUUUGGUUUACGUCAAGGUCUCCGAUUGGCAGCUCCGUCAGUCGGGUUUGUUUCCGAUCCUGACUCAAUUUUUGGGUCCAGCUUUUGGCUAUGGAUUGAUUGUUGAAGUUCAUUUUUCGAUUGGCAAAUGCCAAAAUAUUGAAGGCAUCUACUACUGUAGAGUGUCACAUGAACUAGACGGAGGGAGCAGCAAUAAUUAGCUAAAAAAUUGGUACAAAGUUAAGCAUUUAACUCAAGCUUAACCGAAAUUAUUGCGGGAAUGCCGUAUUAUUAGCGGACCAGCAUAGCAAUUUAACCCAGCCGACUAACAGAUCCCUAAAUUUGAAAGAACAAUGGAAAUUGUUGUCUAUCUCCACGGUAUUGCUAAUAAGGUUGAUUUGUGGUUUUGCAUCGAAGUGCCGGUAUUGACAAAGGAUGAUAUUCAUCACAAAUUGACAUACAAAAAGAUUUCUCCCGUUGCGAAGCUACUUCGACGUGCUUAUGGAUGGGCAGGAGAAUGGGACGUUACUGGUAACAACAUCUAAUAUGCUGGUGGAUACGCGACUGAUCGAGGGAAGAUUAUCCCUUAUAUGGAAUUGAUUAAACAUAACAUGAUGACACAAGAUAAUGCUGUUGAUUCUUGGGAAAGAGUAAUCUUCCCUGAAUCUUCCUCGUAGAUCACUUGUUGUCGUGGCUGUUGGUAGAAAAAAACUACGUAUUGUGGGGGGCGAGCACCGGUCACCUGAUGAUUAUAAAAAAGGCUAAGUGUUGAGGAUGAUGAGCGAUCUGAUCUUCUACGGAGCAAAGGUGGUGAAGUUUACGAUAUCCAAGAAAAAACUUGGAAAUAGCUGGAUGCUGAUUCAAAAUAUUUUAGUCGUUAUAGUAGUUUUAAUCAAGUUGCUGUUGUUGUGGAAAAACAUGGGGAUGAGACGACACAAAUUGUGUUUUAUUGCU